AAGGUUAUUUUGAAAGAAUGCUUUUCCUGUGUCUGGACAUACUACUUGGGACUAUAAGUAAGGUAACGUAACAGUGUAUUUGUUUUGAUUUCCUUAUGGGGGACAACCAGCUCUUGAUUAUUACCUAUGCACUAAGCAGGCUUAUUCCUGUAGUACACUAGCGUAUGUGUUUCCACGAGGAGACUUCGAGUGGCAAAUCUGAAAUAUCACAAAAGUAGGCAAAAUAAUGUGCAUCAUGUACCUAUCAUCAGCUUUAGAAAUUAUCAUAUGAACAAUGUUGUUUUGCAUAUAUUCCCAUCUACUGCUCCUCUUCCAUAAUUUGUUGAAGCAAAUCUUAGACAUCGUACUUCAUCUGUAAAUGUAUCUAAAAGAUAAGAAUUCUUGUUCUCUACAAAAGUAUCACAAUGCCAUUAUCAUACUUUAAAAUAAUUUCUUGAUAUCAUCAAAUAUCAGACAUUGUUCAAAAUUUUCAUUGUUUAAGUUUUUAACUCUCAGAAUUUCCUGAACAGUUUGUCUAUUCGAAUCAAAAUCUAGGUAAGGUCCAAACAUUGGGCAUGUUUGAUACAUCCUUUAGGGCCCCUUACGUCUUCUCACAGUGUUUUCACUUCUUGAAAUUUAUUUGUUGAAUAGACUGGGUAAUUUGUAGAAUUUCCUACAGACUGGGUUUUGCUGUAUAGUUUAUAAAGCCAGGGAACUGUUUGUCACCUUUUUAUAUAGACUCUCUUACUUUGUUCUUUAGUUUUCUACCCUUUUUCAUGGCUUCCCUUAAUAUUAAUUUCACCCAGAUUUUACCUUUAUAAGAAUAUUUAAAUUAUUAGCCUUCAUAGAAUAUCUUGCAUCAAGCCCACCCCCUUGGAAUGGUCCGCUGAGUCCUAGGCAGGCCUGAGAAUCUCAAGCUGAUCCCAUUGCCUCUCAUCACUCUCGUUCACUUACAGUGUAUAAAGUGACAUAGAUGCUGUUAAUUAUAGACUGUUUGGGAAUUUAUAUUCAGAGUGGAGAGAGUUCGAGUUAGUUAGAUUUCAGGGUUGUGCCAAAUCUCCAUACUAGAUUUAUUUAAUAAAUAUUUUAUUAUUAAAAUGAUAAAAAGUACAUGUUCCAUUUGUAUCUGACAUGCUCUGACAAUCUAGGUUAAUCGGUUCAAUAAAUGUGCUAUUAAAAUGUGGCAUGAAGUCCUUGAAUUUUAAGUUUAAAUGGCUGCUGAAUAAAGAUCCUUGAUAUUGUCAUACAGUUUUUAUGUGUUAGGUAGAACCACAUGAAAUUGCCUAUUUUGUAAGUAAAAAAUGAUUACAUAUUUGCAAUUUUAUAUAGUUCGACCUAAUGGACAACUAUAGAACCUCAGAAAAGGAACUUGGAAUACUUGUAGCAUGUUCUAAAUCUUCCCUGAAAUUAUAUAUUAAAAGCUUUUUAUUUUUUAGGAGAAAGAAAUCAGAAGACAACAAGCUGUUCUUCUGAAGCAUCAGGAGGUGGAGAGGCAUAGAUUAGAUAUGGAAUGGUUUCGUCUUUGCUGAAGUGGUAAAUCGUCUCUGUGAAGAUUUGAGAAAAGGAAAAAUGGAGGCAAACACUUGUGACUUGAAAGAACUGCCUCCUUUUACUUAUUCUAAGAAGCAAUAGAGAAGCCGGACCUCUACCAGGACAUGACUUUUUCCCGGAUGAUCCUCACUGAUAUGCAUACUCGCCUCAGUUAAGCGUUGAGAAUAGGAAAAAAAGAGGAAAACACUUGUGACUGGUCCAAACUACCAACUUUUAGUUUCAUUAAGACAACGAAAUGAGAACACUCUAAGGACCUGAUUCUUUGCAGUAUGAUCCUUACCGAAAUAGAAAAUCAUGAGGAUGCAUGGCCUUUUCAUCUUCCUGUAAACUUGAACUUUGUUCCUGGUUAUACCAAAGUUAUUAAGAAGCCUAUGGAUUUUUCCACAAUUAGAGAGAAAUUAAUUAGUGGACAGUAAGUACAUCAUUUCUGUUCAGUGUUUAUUGAAUGUUUGUUAUGUGCUCAGUACUCUUAUAGUGAGCCAAGAAUACAUCAAUUACAAGCCCUGCCUUUAGAGACAGGAUAUAUAUGUGUGGUUAAGGUAGUAUGAUAUGGAAGACAAGUUAAUUAAAAUUAUAUCAGUAAUUAGAAAUAGUAUAAUUAAGCUGUUUUGAUACUGGAAGGCCACCAAACCUAGCCUGGGAGUUAAGGAAAAGUAUCAGGGAAGCCUCCCAAAGUGACUAAGUGACAUGUAAGCUGGAGCUUAUAUUGUGCAUCGUUGGGAUAUCAAUACCAUUUCAUGUGCAUUUCACCAAAAUUGAUUUCAUAAUAUUUUCAGAUUAUUAUAAGAUAGAUCGUUGGAAAUUUUAAAUAAUGAAAGCUUUACAAUGAAUCGUAGAUUACAAAAAAGGCAUUUGUUAAAAGUAGAAGAAAACUAUUAUUUGCCCCUGUCCCUACCAUAUCGUCUUUGUGAUCCUAUCCGAAGGGUAAAAUGGCU